GACGAACGCUGGCGGCGUGCUUAACACAUGCAAGUCGAACGGAAAGGCCCUGCUUGCAGGGUGCUCGAGUGGCGAACGGGUGAGUAACACGUGGGUGAUCUGCCCCUUACUUUGGGAUAAGCCUGGGAAACUGGGUCUAAUACUGGAUAGGACCAUGCUGUAGGUGGUGUGGUGGAAAGAUUAGCUUCGGUAAGGGAUGAGCUCGCGGCCUAUCAGCUUGUUGGUGGGGUAAUGGCCUACCAAGGCGUCGACGGGUAGCCGGCCUGAGAGGGUGGACGGCAACGUUGGGACUGAGAUGCGAGGCAGAAGCCUACGGGAGGCAGCAGUGGGGGAUAUUGCACAAUAGGCGCAAGCCGGAUGCAGCGACGGCGCGUGGGGGGUGAAGGCCUUCGGGUUGUAAACUCCUUUCGGCCAUGACGAAGCCCUUGUGGUGACGGUAGUGGUAGAAGAAGCACCGGCUAACUACGUG
rnacentral:rRNA from 1 species